rnacentral:rRNA from 1 species
GAUGAACGCUAGCGAUAGGCUUAACACAUGCAAGUCGAGGGACCGGCGCACGGGUGCGUAACGCGUAUGCAACCUGCCUGUAAUUAGGGAAUAACCCGGUGAAAGUCGGACUAAUACCCUAUAAUUACAGAUGGGCAUGCGUUCCAUUAGCUAGUUGGUAAGGUAACGGCUUACCAAGGCGACGAUGGGUAGGGGGACUGAGGGGUUGGCCCCCCACACUGGUACAGAGGCACGGACCAGCCUCCGACGGCAGGCGGGGGUAAGGAAUAUUAGUGGAUGGACGAGAGACUGAGCCAGGCAAGUCGCGUGAAGAAGGACGGUUGAUGUAUAGUAAACUUCUUUUGGAGAAAAAUAUGUACUCGACGAAUAAGUAUCGGCUAACUCCGUGCCAGCAGCCGCGGUAAUAC